rnacentral:rRNA from 1 species
UAGACCGCCUGGGGAGUACGGCCGCAAGGUUAAAACUCAAAUGAAUUGACGGGGGCCCGCACAAGCGGUGGAGCAUGUGGUUUAAUUCGAUGCAACGCGAAGAACCUUACCUGGUCUUGACAUCCACAGAAGAAUCCAGAGAUGGAUUUGUGCCUUCGGGAACUGUGAGACAGGUGCUGCAUGGCUGUCGUCAGCUCGUGUUGUGAAAUGUUGGGUUAAGUCCCGCAACGAGCGCAACCCUUAUCCUUUGUUGCCAGCGGUUAGGCCGGGAACUCAAAGGAGACUGCCAGUGAUAAACUGGAGGAAGGUGGGGAUGACGUCAAGUCAUCAUGGCCCUUACGACCAGGGCUACACACGUGCUACAAUGGCGCAUACAAAGAGAAGCGACCUCGCGAGAGCAAGCGGACCUCAUAAAGUGCGUCGUAGUCCGGAUUGGAGUCUGCAACUCGACUCCAUGAAGUCGGAAUCGCUAGUAAUCGUGGAUCAGAAUGCCACGGUGAAUACGUUCCCGGGCCUUGUACACACCGCCCGUCACACCAUGGGAGUGGGUUGCAAAAGAAGUAGGUAGCUUAACCUUCGGGAGGGCGCUUACCACUUUGUGAUUCAUGACUGGGGUGAAGUCGUAACAAGGUAACCGUAGGGGAACCUGCGGUUGGAUCACCUCCUUACCUUAAAGAAGC